AACUUUUAACAAUGGAUCUCUUGGUUCUGGCAUCAAUGAAGAACGCAGCGAAAUGCGAUAAGUAAUGUGAAUUGCAGAAUUCAGUGAAUCAUCGAAUCUUUGAACGCACAUUGCGCCCCUUGGUAUUCCGGGGGGCAUGCCUGUUCGAGCGUCAUUACAACCCUCAAGCUCUGCUUGGUCUUGGGCGUCACCGGUCCCCGGUGUGCCUUAAAAUCAGUGGCGGCGCCAUCUGGCUCUAAGCGUAGUACAUACUCUCGCUACAGACGUCCGGUGGAUGCUGGCCAGCAACCCCCAAUUUAUCCAGGUUGACCUCGGAUCAGGUAGGGAUACCCGCUGAACUUAAGCAUAUCAAUAAGCGGAGGCU
rnacentral:misc_RNA from 1 species